rnacentral:rRNA from 1 species
UCAAAUGAAUUGACGGGGGCCCGCACAAGCGGUGGAGCAUGUGGUUUAAUUCGAUGCAACGCGAAGAACCUUACCUGGUCUUGACAUCCACGGAAGUUUUCAGAGAUGAGAAUGUGCCUUCGGGAACCGUGAGACAGGUGCUGCAUGGCUGUCGUCAGCUCGUGUUGUGAAAUGUUGGGUUAAGUCCCGCAACGAGCGCAACCCUUAUCCUUUGUUGCCAGCGAUUCGGUCGGGAACUCAAAGGAGACUGCCAGUGAUAAACUGGAGGAAGGUGGGGAUGACGUCAAGUCAUCAUGGCCCUUACGACCAGGGCUACACACG